rnacentral:rRNA from 11 species
AGGGAGUAUGUUUGUAAGAAUGAAACUCGAAGGAAUUGACGGGGGGCCACACAAGCAGUGGAGCAUGUGGUUUAAUUCAAUGCAAAGUGAAGAACCUUACCAGGUAUUGACAUGUCGCAAAUCCUCUUGAAAAAGAGGGGUGCUUUCGGGAACUCGGAUACAAGUGAUGCAUGGCUAUUGUCGGCUCAUGUCGUAAUGUGUUGGGUUAAGUCCCACAACAAGUGCAACCCUCAUGUUUAGUUGCCAUCGUUGAGUUUGGAACCCUGAGUAGACUGUUGGUGAUAAGCCGGAGGAAAGGGAUGAUGGCGUCAACUCAUCAUGCCCCUUAUGCUUUGGGCAACACAUAUGCUACAAUGGUCGGGACAAAGGGUCGCGAUCCUGCAGGGGUAAGCUAACUCCAAAAACUCGUCCUUAGUUUGGAUUGCAGGCUACAACUCACCUGCAUGAAGUUGGAAUUGCUAGUAAUCAUUGGUUAGCCAUACGACGGUGAAUUUAUUCCCAGGCCUUGUACACACCACCCGUCACACUAUGAGAGUUGGUCAUGCCCGAAGUCAUUACCUUAAUCACAAGGAGAGGGAUGACGAAGGCAGGGUUAGUGAUUGGAGUGAAGUCGUAACAAGGUAGCCGUGUUGGAAGGUGCAGCUG